UUUUCCCUGGCACAAAACCAAACUGCAUCUCAUCUAAACUAACUCUCUCUCUAAUUAGUUGGGCUAUGACCCUCUCCGUAACCUUCAUUACCUGAUCCAACAACUUGAUACCCCUGUAGUUAUUUGUAUCUAGGGCGUCACCUUUACCUUUGUAGCAGCUGACUAUUAUGCUGCUACACCAGUCAUUGGGUAUGACUCCUUCGUGUAUCACCUGGUUAACUAUACGGGUGACUAGGCUAUAGCCGACACUGCCAGAUAUUUUGAGCAUCUCUGCAGUAAUUCCUGAUGGGCCUGGGGCUUUCCCUGUCUUCAUGCUUCUAAUUGCCUUAGCUACCACAGAACUAUCAACUCGGAUAGCUGGUCCAUCUGUUGGGUCGACAUUCGGCAGACUCUCUUUAUCCCAUUCAUUUUCUUUAUUCAGCAACCUUUCAUAGUGGUGUCUCCAAACCUCUCUCUUUGCAUCCUCGUUUCGCACAAGUGAACCACCAUCCAUGCGAACACAUUUCUCUCCUACCACAUCACGAUUCUCUCUCACACACUGUCUUACAACACAAAAUACUUCAAGUCUUUGGUCCUCACGGCACAGAACAUUGGCAAAUUUUUUCUUAUCUGCUUCCCCUCUGGCUAAAUAAACCUGUCUCCUAGCUUCCCUUCUGGCAGUCUGAUACAAUUCCCUGCUACCACCGUUCCAGUCCUUCCAAGCCUGUUUCUUUUGUCUAAUAUCCCUGUCCACCACAUUGUUCCACCACCACGUUACUCUGGGUCGAGAUGGGACUUUGCUCCAUCCACAGAUCUGGUCAGUGGCUGUCAGCAGAUUGUCCCGUAGAAAUCUCCAGUUGUCUUCCACAUUAUACAUAUAUAUAUAUAUAUAUAUAUAUAUGUACACAUAUAUAUGUACACAUAUAUAUGUACACAUAUAUAUAUGUACACAUAUAUAUGUACAUAUAUAUAUACACAUAUAUAUAUAUAUAUAUACAUAUAUACAUAUAUAUAUAUAUACAUAUAUAUAUAUAUAUAUAUACAUGUAUAUAUAUACAUAUACAUGUAUAUAUAUACAUAUAUAUAUAUAUAUACAUAUAUAUAUAUAUAUAUAUGUAUAUAUAUACAUAUAUAUAUAUAUAUAUACAUACAUAUAUAUAUACAUAUAUAUAUAUACAUACAUAUAUAUAUAUAUAUAUAUAUAUAUAUAUAUAUAUAUAUAUAUAUAUAUAUAUAUAUAUAUAUAUAUAUAUACAUAUAUAUAUAUAUAUAUAUAUAUAUAUAUAUAUAUAUAUAUAUAUACAUAUAUAUAUACAUGCAUACAUAUAUAUAUAUAUAUACAUAUAUAUAUACAUAUACAUAUAUAUAUAUAUAUAUAUAUAUAUAUACAUGCAUACAUAUAUAUAUAUAUAUAUAUAUAUAUAUAUAUAUAUACAUAUAUAUAUAUAUCUUUAUAUAUAUAAAACUGAGUAUGUGUGUCUGUCUGUCUCUGUGUUUCCCUAAAACAAUUGUUUUAACAAUAAAACAGAUCCUAAAUGCUUUUCAUCAUGCAUAUACUAAACUUGGACUGAGCAUCAACAUCAAGAAGACUCACUUACUCUACCAACCUCCUCCCAAUGCCCGUGUUGACAACCCGCCAUCGAUUCAACUCGAAGGAAUUCCACUGGAAAAUGUGAACCAUUUCUGCUACCUUGGGAGCCAUCUGUCAGCAAAGGUAGACCUCAGUGAUGAAAUCCAACACCGUCUGAAGUGUGCAGGAACAGCUUUCGGCAAGCUUCGAACAAGAGUUUUUGCUGAUCGGGACAUCCGAACUGAAACCAAACUCAUGGUGUACAGGGCAGUCAUUAUUCCAACCCUCCUUUAUGCAUCCGAAACCUGGACUCAAGAAAUUUCACCAACGCUGUCUUCGGAAGAUCCUUAACAUCAGCUGGGAAGACAGAAGAACUAACGUCAGCGUGCUACAAGGAGUAAAAAUGACCAGCAUCGAAGCCUAUGUCAUCAAAGGCCAACUAAGAUGGAGCGGCCACGUGGUUAGAAUGACUGACGAAUGACUUCCCAAACAGAUCUUCUACUCCCAACUCAAAGACGGCAAGCGUACAAAAGGAGGCCAGAAGAAACGCUACAAGGACUCCCUGAAAUCGAACCUCAAAAAGUGUGACAUCGACUUCACUAACUGGGAGGAAACGGCAAAAAACAGACCACUCUGGAAAACCACUAUCCAUGAGGGAAUGGCGAAUUUCGAGUCGAAAAGGUCUGCAGAGCUGGAGGAGAAAAGACGACGACGGAAGGAGCGCCAACAACAACCACGUGCGACUCUCCCUUCCGGCACUAGAUGUCCGCACUGUGACCGAUCUUUUCAAGCAAGAAUUGGUCUUAUCGGUCACCUACAGACUCACCAGUAAAUUUGCGCGAAGACCAUCAUCCUCGACCUUGAGGGAUUAGCAUCGAUAUAUACAUAUAUACAUACAUAUAUAUUUAUAUACACAUAUAUAUACAUAGAUACAUAUAUAUAUAUACAUGCACACACACACACACACAUAUAUAUAUAUAUACAUAUAUAUUAUAUACCUAUAUAUAUAUACACAUAAAUAUAUACACAUAUAUAUCAUAUAUACACAUACAUAUAUAUACGACAGGCUUCUUUCAGUUUCCGCCUGCCAAAUCCACUGAGAAGGCUUUGGUCGGCCUGAGGCUAUAGUAGAAGACACUUGCUUAUGUAUAUAUGUGUGUAUGUGUGUAUUAUCAUCUUUUAAUGUCCAUUGUCCAUGCUGGCAUGGGUUGGACGAUUUGACCAGGGCUGGUAAGCUGGAAGAUUGCUCCAGAUCCCAGUCUGAUUUGGGUUGGUUUCUAUGGCUGGAUGCCCUUCCUAAUAACAAACCACUCUGAGAGUGUAAUGGGUACUUGUACGUGCCACUGGCACAGGUGCCAUUUGCGUGACACCAGCAUCUUCCACAACUGUGAUUUUACUUGGCUUGAUGGUUCUUCUUCUCAACUACGACAUAAUGCCAACGAUCUCGGGGUCAUCUGUCAUUGCCUCCCUGAGGCUGAACUCUUGAGAGGAGCUUUUCACAUGCCACCAACGUUGGCCUCUGCGGCACCCGACACCCGGAUGCUGCUUCCCGUGUGCCAGUUCCAUCACAUCCGCAUCAGCCAUGAUUAGGAUUUCAUUUGUUCUGAUGGCUCUUCUCAACAAAAAAAGUUCUGGAUUCUUUUCAACUGACUAAAAAUUCUCCAGGAUUGUGCCCCAGCAUGGCCGUACUCUAAUGAUUAAAACAGAGAAAAGAGAACGAAAAAGAUGUGUGUACAUACACAGGCUUGCAUAUAUGUAUGUGUGUGUGUGUGUGUGUGUGUGUGUGUGUGUAUAAAUAUACUGACAUGUAUGCCUAUUGUCAUUGACCUCUUUUAUAACCUCUCACCCCUUUAACACUCAUAUCACCCCUUUCCCUCUCUGCCACUAAUCUGUCCUAAUCUCUCUUGCUCUUGCCAUUACUUAUCUCUCAUCCACUCCUCCCUCCUAACAAUCUCACCCUAAUCUGCUGGGGGUGUCACUAAGGAUGACAGUGGUUCUCUCUUUCUGUUUGUCAUGGCAUUUCAAUUACUUUGCCGUGUGGCACAUUGCUGUACUUGAGAAGAGACCUGUCCACCACACUUGAAAUGAUCUCCUAAAACCAAAGGGCCACAUAAAAAGCAUUGGUGAUGGGGCCAUGUAAAAGCACCCAGUACAUUCUGUAAAGUGGUUGGUGUUCGGAAGGGCAUUCAGCUGUAGAAACCAACCCCAAACAGGCCAUGGAACCUGGUUCAGCCCCUGGCUUUACAUCUGCUAUUGGACUGUCCAACCCAUUCCACAAUGGAAAAUGGACGUUACAUGAUAAUGGGGAUGAUGAUGAUGAUGAUGAUGGUGGUGGUGGUGGUGGUGGUGGUGGUGGUGGUGAUUGCUUUUACUGUUGUUCUUGUUUACCAUACAGCUGUAUUCUGUCCCUCUGCCUAUUGCUCAUCUCUCAUCCCCCCUGUCACUCAGUCCCCCUCUCAACCCAUACUGUACCCAGCUUCAAUGUGAACUGAAGAUGGUAGCAGCCUUCCCUUUUGUUCGCUCAGCACUGGCAUCCAGUAACUGCACCUGUUUGGACCUUCUGCUCCACCUCUCAUUCCCCUGGGCCACUUCCUGCUACCAAAUCCGAUUAUUUUCCAUCCACCAUACCAUCAGCCUUAUUAGUCAACCCUCCAACCCAUCUACCUGUCACCCCUUGUACCCAGUUCACUCUACCUUCUCCUCCCUUUUUCUACUGCCCCCUCACCACUCCCUUCCACCUUGUCUACCCCUAAGCUCCUAUUGCUUUUCUCCCUGGCCUCUGUCUUCCUUUGGUCUUCUUUUUACCCCUUGGGCCACAUAGGCUUGCAUCACCUCCCUGCCAGCUCCCUCAUAUUACCUUCAAUCUUUGUACCCAGCUUACGAUACUAUCUACUCCUGCCACUCCCUUAACUCGCAUCCCGGGCAUCACAAUCACUCGAGCAUCUCACUCUGUAUAGAAGCAAAUGAGUGCGGGGAGGGGAGGUGGUUGUGAGUUUGGUCAUGGGUGUGGACAGGCGGUUGUGUUCGUGGAGGGGCAGUUGCGAGUACAGGCAGGGUCCUUAGUACCAGAUUCAAUCACAAGGCUUCAGAUCAUUAUAAAAUUUAUUUGAAAUGUGGAUAAGUAAAUAAUUGAAGCUGAUUAUGUAUAACACCUGUGUGCUAUCAUCAUCACCAUCAUCAUCAUUGUCAUCAUUUUAAUAUCCUGUUUUCCGUUGUUUUGUGGGUUAGAAUUUGUUCAGGUGGAUUUUUCUACGGCCAAAUACUGUUUCUGUUGCCGACGCUCACCUGUCUGGGCAAGGUAAUAAUACACUAGUUUGUCAGUCAACCGACAACUGAGACUGUUAUGAAGUCUUCUUUGUUUACAAUGAUCGGGUAACAUGUGAAGACAUGUCAAAAAGCCUGGACUGCAAGCAUGCUUCACUGACCGUAUUGGUAGCAAAGCUGUUUACAGUCAACAGAGACAGCAAGAAAUACCAAAUCACCCACACAAACACAAACACACAUGUACAGCUCAUUGUUGACUUACGACCACAAUUGUUUCCGACUGACCGGUCAUAAGUCGGCCCAUGGGCCUACAUAGCUUUGUUUUAUAUUUUUACAUUCCUAAGGGACAUUCGCAGGUAGAAGUCACACACAGCAUUCUGUAUUGUACUAUUAUACUGGCAUUAGUCAAAAAUUUCAGUCUCAAGCAAUCGUCUUAUAAACAAACACGAGGUUGCCUCGAUGUCUCCGCGACAGGAUUUUCAUUCAACACUUGGGAUAACCACAGUAGCGAUCAAUAACCAAACCUAGGAGAGGCAUUUAUUAGCUAACACCAUCUGUAGACAGGUUAUUUCUAAGAAAUUAAACCCAUUGGACUAUUUAUUAUUGUUGGCGUACUAAUUGUCAUAAAGUCAAUCUGUCGUAAGUCAGAAAGGUCAUAAGUCGAUGACCUGUAUGCAUGUUUUCUCUUUACCAUUCUGGUACUGUCACGUUGUCAGGGAUCACAAAGACUGUUGAGUGUUGUCAAGGCCAUAACAACCUCAUUAGUGUUGGUGCCAUGAUAUAAAAAUGAACCCAGGACCCUGUGUAAAGUAGCUAAUGUUAGAAAGGGCACGUAGCCUUAGAAGCCAUGCCAGAUAUAGAAUGUAUGAGAGAGGUGUGUUCCUCCAUUAGGUGAAGAGGAUAAUUUGAAAUAUUUUUGUAGAGUCUACUUCUGAGAUGGCAUCUGUGUCUGGUGUCUUUUCCAUAACACUUAAGCUUUUAAACCGGCCAUGUCUGGGCCCAGUUAUUCUACCUGCUUUUUGUUCAAACUGGUCAGACCUGGCUUCUUGCAACCACCUUGCAAAAACCUUCUAAAACCAUACAAUCACACCAUCAGAAUCCGAAAGCGAAGAGAUAAGGUUUGAUUAAUUGGAAACAAUCUUAUAAUAAUUCUUCAUAGGCACAGGAGUGGCUUUGUGGUAAGUAGCUUGCUUACCAACCACAUGGUUCUGAGUUCAGUCCCAUUGCAUGGCACCUUGGGCAAGUGUCUUCUACUAUAGCCUCAGGCUGACCAAGGCCUGAGUGGAUUUGGUAGAUGAAAGCUAAAAGAAACUCAUUGUAUAUAUGUGUGUGUGUGUGUUUGGCCCCACCAAGAUCACUUGACAACCAAUAGUGGUGUGUUUAAGUACCCGUAACUUAGCAGUUCAGCAAAGGAGACUGAUAGAAUAAGUAUUAGGCUUACUAGGAAUAAGUCCUGGGGUUGAUUUGUUCAACUAAAGGCAGUGCUCCAGCAUGGCUGCGGCCAAAUGGCUGAAACAAAUAAAAGAAUGUCACUCUGUUUCUCAGCCUGUCCAUAACGCUUCCACGGGAUUAGCUGAAGGGGAUGAGAGGAGAGGAAGGAGAGAUGGCGGGGAGUGAAGUGUGUAAUUAUUUUGUUUUUUUGAACUAACACACACACAACACAGGCUAUGCUUUCCGACUUAUUGGAUAAAGCUUUCAGGAAUAACCCAAUAAGUUCGCUGUUAAUUCCAUGAAACAUUCACAGGUUCCACUAGUGUGAAUCAAUAGGUAUUAUGCUAAAUGGUUAAUUGUGGCUUUCACUGCGUUUCGCUUGUUAUAUGCUCCAGCCAUCUUCAGGUGUCUUGUGUUGACCUCUGUUGUAUUAGAAUUUUGAACCUAAUCCUUUAUUUGAUCCACAAUGGUACACUUUUUUCAUUCCACCCAGCUUUCAUGGCAUAUGAAUUCCCCCUCCUGUCACAGGAUUAACUCAUUUUUGCCAGCUGAGUGGACUGGAGCAACAUGGAAUGAAGUGUCUUGCUCAAGGACACAAUGCAUUGCUCGGUCCAGGAACUGAAACCACAAUUGGUCUUCAAAGACCAGAUGUAGCUGGCCAACUUAGUCGCUUUUCUAUAUAUUCUUUUAUUUGUUUUAGUCAUUUGACUGCGGCCAUGCUGGAGCACUACUUUUGGUAGAACAAAUCGACCCCAGAACUUAUUCUUUGUAAGCUGACUACUUAUUCUAUCAGUCUCUUUUGCCAAACCGCUAAGUUACGGGUGCAUAAACACCAACAUUGGUUGUCAAGCAAUGGUGGGGGGACAAACACAGACACACAAACAUAUUCAUAUAUAUGUAUAUACGAUGAACUUCUUUCAGUUUCCAUUUUUAAAUCUAUUCACAAGGUUUUGGUCACCCAAAGCUAUAGUGUAAGACUUGCCCAAGGUGCCAUGCAGUGGGACUGAGCCCGGAACCACAUGGUUGGUAAGCAAGCUUCUUACCACACAGCCAUGACUGUGCCAAAUGUAUGUGUAUAUACAGGAAACCUCUUUCAAGAAUCCUAACUUUCUUCAAAAUUGUUAUUUUUUAUUUUUGCCUCACUUUUAAGGUAAAUAAUGUAAGAAGCUUGCUUCCCAACCACACAGUUCCAAGUUCAGUCCCACUGCAUGGCACCUUGGGCAAGUGUCUUCUACUGUAGCCUCGGGCUGACCAAAGCCUUGUGAGUGGAUUUGGUAGACGGAAACUGAAAGAAGCCAGUCGUGUAUAUCUGCUAUAUCAGAAAUCUGCAAUGGCUCCCUAACUACCAUCUCAGCUAUAACCUUGGAGCCCUAGUAAUCCUUCACACCACUUACCUGGCGUACCUAAUCGUUUAGAUCACCUGUGAACUAAACUGUAUGAUGCAUGUGUGCGAACUGCCAUGCUACAUGGCAAUGAAACAUGGGCCGUGGCUGCUGAGGACAUGCGUAGGCUUGAAAGAAAUGAAGCUAGUAUGAUCCGCUGGAUGUGUAAUGUCAGUGUGUCUACAUGACAGAGUGUGAGUGCCCUGAGAGAAAAGUUGGACAUAAGAAGCAUCAAAUGUGGUGAGCAAGAGAGAUGACUGCACUGGUGUGGUCAUGUGCUACGUAUGGAUGAGGACAGCUGUGUGAGGAAGCGCCACACCCUAACUGUGGAAGGAACCUGUGGAAGAGGUAGACCCAGGAAGACAUGGGAUGAGGUGGUGAAGGAUGACCUUUGAGUUUUGGGGCUCACAGAGGCAGUGACAGGAGGCCGAGGCCUUUGAGAUAUGCUGUGAUUGAGAAGACCCAGCAACUAAAGUGAGAUCGCAGCCAUGGCCGAUGCCAGUGUUGCAUGUCUGGCCCAUUUAAGAGUACCCCUGAUGUGUCAGGUGAUACGAUAUGCUUGAAAAGACCUGUUGAGUCAAGUAAAACCAAAAUUGCAGCUGUGGUCAGUGCUUCCUGACUGGCUCCCGUUCUUGUGGAACGUAAAAAGUACCACCCGAAUGUGGCCAAUGCCAGUGUUCCCUGACUGGCUCCCAUGUUGGUGGCACAUAAAAAGCACUAUCUGAAUGCUUUUGGUGCCAGGCCUGCCUGACUGGCUCCUGUGCCGGUGGCAUGUAAAAAGCAUCCACUACACUCUCAGAGUGGUUGGCAUUAGGAAGGGUAUGCAGCUGUAGAAACCCUGCCAGACUAGAAUGGAGCCUGGUGCAGCUGCUGGCUCUCCAGACCUCAGUCAAACCGUCCAACCCAUGCCAGCAUGGAAAACAGACGUUAAACGAUGAUGAUGAUAUAUUUGUGUGUGUCUGAGUUUGUCCCCACCCCCAACUACCACUUGACAACCGGUGUUGGUGUGUUUGCAUCAGGGCUGUGGAAUCAAAACAAAAACCUUCGAUUCCGACUCCUCUACCAUUGGCACCUCUGACUCUGACUCUUCUUUAUGUAAUCAAGUGAUUGUGGUCUACACAUCUCAUAAAGCACAUGCAUACGCUUGUACUUUGAGUCGGCCUAUAGGUUACAACUGGUUUAUAUUAAGGAAUAAAGACAUUGUGAAUCAGGAUUGGAGUCAGUAUAGUUUUACUGACUCCGACUCCACAGCCCUGGUGUUUACAUCCCUGUAACUUAGCAGUUUGGCAAAAGAGAAUGAUAGAAUAAGUCCUGGGGUCUUAUUUUCUCAACUAAAACCCCAUCGAGGUGGUGCUCUUUUUUUAUUUUGUGAAUUUCUGUAUAUAUAUAUAUAUAUAUAUAUAUAUAUAUAUAUAUAUAUAUAUAUAUAUAUAUACAUAUAUAUAUAUUUGCAUGGAAAAGACAUGAAUUCUGUAGACAAGGGCAUGACCGUACUGGAAGAGUAUUUUUAUCAGGGACAAAUGAACCUUGAAAGAGGGGCCUUGCAAGUCUACCAGAUAGACAGAAGAGCUUUGUAGAAAAUGAAGGAGAGUAUAUUUCAGAUUAAAAAAGAACUUUGCCUCAAUUUUGAAAAGUAAAAAAGUAUAAAGAAACCCCAUUCUUUAUGGGACGAUCCAAUAUAUAGCAGUUAGGCCUUAAAAUGAGCUCUAUGAAGAGAAAAUAUAUGCAGUUGGAAGAUGUACUAAAGAGGUGAAUAGAGGUGGGAAGUGAUGAAAUUGAGGGGGUAAAAGGAGUACACUUAGGGCACACAGUGACUAGGGGCUGAGAUAUGGGAGCUGAAAUUUCAAAGAUUAUGGGGUGGUGGUGCAGGAUGGAAGGUGUUUAACUCAAUAACGAAGGAUAAAACUCAAUUAAUUUAAAUUCGUUUAUAUUAAUUACUAGGUUAAAAGCUGCACUCUAUGUGGACUUUUAAACUAGCUCCUGCAGAGGGCUAAUUGGACCCGCAGCCCUAAACUAACGAGAGCUUGGAAAAAAGGGUAUAAAAUGUCUAUAUAGAGCACAUAUAGACCAAGAUACAGGGGUCACAGACGGACAGAAUUUUCACUUUUAUUAAUAUAGAUUUAUCUUAAUUAUAUAAUUUUAGAAUUGUUAUAGUUAUUGCUGAUAAAACAGCUGUUUCGUAAUGAUAUAUCUGUGAAAUUUAUGCCAGAAUGCCUCACAGCGGGACUUGAACCCCAAAUCACACAAACUUCUUAACCAAACAUCCCUUCUGGCUUCUGUCUAUAUACCUGGAGGUGAAAGGCAUGUGUGCCUCUGUAUAUAAGGAUAUAUCUGAAUCUCAACAGUGUGUGUGUAUACAUAUAUAUAUAUAUGCACAUGUAUACAUGUGUCUGUCUGAAUGUGUAGGUGUGUGUAUAAACAGGUGCAUAUAUUUGUAUGUGUGUAAACAUGUAUGUGUAUAGAAUCAUGCAUAUGUGUGUGCAUGUGUACAUAAAUGUGUAUAUAUAUGUGUAUAAGUGUGGGUGUGUGUGUUGUGUAUAUAUAGGAGUGUGUGUGUGUGUAUAUAUAUAAGCAUGUAUGCAUUUGUGUUUAUGUAUGAAUAUAUGGAGAGUAGGAGGAAGAGGAGGAAAAAGUCCAGCUGAAUUGUCAUUACUACCCCCACGCCCCGCAUUCGUGUAUAUGUGUGGUGUAUAUAUAUAUGUGUGUGUAUAUGUGUGUUGUAUAUAUGUACAUUGUGUGCCUGUCAUGUGAAAGUUCAUAGUCUGCUGAAAGUAGGUCAACUUGUAUUUCUCGUCAGUGUGUGUGUAUAGAUAUAUAUAUCCAGGCGUAGCCGUGUGGUGAGAACUUUGCUCCCCAACCAUGUAGUUCUAGGUUCAAACCCAUGGCGCAGCACCUUGGCUAGGUGACUUCUACUGUGGCCUUGGGCCAACCAGAGUCUUCUGAGUGCAUUAGAUUGGAAACUGAAAGAAGCCUGUCGUAUAUGUGUGUGUAUGCAUGCAUGUGUGCUUUGGUUGACCUGAGGCUGUAGUAGAAGACACCUACCAAAGGUGCCAUAGACAUACAUAUAAAUAUAUGUAUUUAUAUGUGUGUAUAGAUAUAUAUAUAUGUGUGUGUGUGUAUAUAUAUAUGUAUUUAUAUAUAUAUAUAUAUAUAUAUGUAUUUAUAUGUGUGUAUAUAUAUAUAUUUAUAUGCAUGUAUAUAGAUAUUUAUGUGUAUAUAUAUAUGUAUUUAUACGUGUGUAUAUAUAUAUAUAUAUAUAUAUAUAUAUAUAUAUAUGUAUCUAUUUAUGUGUAUAUAUAAAUAUGUAUUUACAUAGAUAUAUAUGAUGGGCUUCUUACAGUCUCCAUCUACCAAAUCAUCUCACAAGUCUUUGGCUGGUCCAAUGUGUGGCGCAGCGGGAUUGAACCUGAAGCCAUGGGGUUGGAAAGGAUAUGGCUCGGUGGUUAGGCUGCUGUAUGCAUGACAUGAGAUUGUGGGUUCGAUCCUCGACUCAGGUGGCAUCGUCCUGAACAGAACCCUUCAUUUCACAUUGCUCUGGAGCCAUGUGGGGACUGACAUGUCAAAGCAUAGACCCAGCAUUUCCUCUGCUUAUCAUAAAAGCUGAUUAAUAGAGGAUGAGGCUGGAUUUGUACUCUGACUUUGUAAAACCCUCAACAGCAACAACUUCCCAAACAGACCCAUGCGUUUGGAAGGUUGUCACCCGAGUGCUGCAUGAGUUGUAAGGAGUCACCAACAGAUGGCAGGUGCAGUGAGACGCUGUCAGGGCACUGACCCCCAUUUCUUAAACUAAUACGACUAUUGUUUAUUCUUUUAUUUGUUUUAGUUGUGAGACUGUGGCCAUGCUGGGGCACUGCCUUGAAGUCUUUUAGUCAAACAAAUUGGCACCAGGACUUACUCCUUAAAGCCUACUACUUAUACUUUUGCCAAACUGUUAAGUUACAGGGACAUAAAUAUGCCGACACCGGUUGUUAAGCUGUGUUGUUGGUGGGGGGGGGGUGUUGGAAGCACAGACGUAGACACAUAGAUAUAUACUUACAUAUACAUACAUACGCACUGGCGUAUGGUGAUUAUUGUAUUGGAUGUGCUGCCACACCCAGUGCCACCAAAUUUCAAGCAGGAGCUUAACAAAAGUUUUCCGUUAAGAUUUGUGAUUAAAUUAACGAGUAAGGUCAAUAUUUUAUAAUGAAUUUGCCACUGUCGACAGGUGUUCAGUGCACACCUGGCACACCUGCAAUAUACGUCCUUGAUAUACAUACAUACAUACACACACAUAUGUGCGUGACAGGCUUCUUUCAGUUUCCAUCUACCAAAUCCACUCACAAGGCUUUGGUCAACCCAAGGCUAUAGUAGAAGACACUUCCCCAAGGUGCCACACAGUGGGACUGAACCUGGUACCUUGUGGUUGGGAAGUAAGCUUUUUACCACACAGCCACCCCUGCACCUCUCAGCUUUAUAUCUCGUUUGUAUUGUUGUGAUGGCAGGAUUGGAAAGUCCGACUCUUCAUUCAGCUUCCCAUUUCAGUUCUGUUACUUUUUUUGGUUUUGCUUUUUCUCUACUCUGCCUUAUUCUUUACCUCCCCCCCUCUCUCUCCCCCUCUCUCUCCCUCUCUCCCCCUCUCUCUCUCUCUCUCCUCUCUCCCUCCCUUCUCUUCAAAUAUUCUUUUCAAUCAUUUCACUGUUGUUGCUUUUCUUUUUCCUUCAAAUUUCAUUUUCACUUCCUUGUUUGUCUAUUUAUAAAUAUCUGUCUGUGUCAGCGGCUGUCAUUUGCCAGGGAACAACACACUUCAUUUCAUGUAACUCUAAAACACAUGAGAAGCAAUUACCACCACCACCGCCACCACUACUGCUACUACUACUACUACUACUACUACUACUAUUGAUUUAGAGAGUAGUGCAAGCCAUCAAAGUGACACUGGGGUAAAAUAUACAAAGCCCAGUAUACCCAUCAUGACUACCCGUCUGAUAAGGGUACAUCAGUCACAUGCAUCACAACCAUAUGUGCGUGACAUGGUGAUCUCAUAUCAAGAUAAACAGCACAUGACCUUGCAAGUGGGGCCCAGUUAGAAUUUUCUGCUGGUUGAGUAUCCAAUCCUGCUCAAAAGGUCUCUGAAUAAGGUUUGUUUCAAAGAUGAAGAGCAAAAUACCCAUGUUUCCACAGGUGAGUUAUUCAAACCCCAAAGAAUUCCUCUCAACACAUGGCUAUGAUACCCCCCCCCCAGUACUUCUGCUCAUGAUCAGAGAUGCACAUAUCGUCAGCUACCAAGGGGCAUGCUCAACUAGUUACAGUCAAGUAACUGACAAGCAAGUCUGUGGUAUUGAGCAGAAUAUUAUCAUUAUUAUUAUCAUUAUUAUUUUUAUUAUUAUUAUUAUUAUUAUUAUCAUUAUUAUUAUUAUUAUUAUUAUUAUUAUUGUUAUACACUCAACAGCUUAGACUGUUGGAAAAGAAAAGAAUCCUAACAUCGUGCUCCAACAAGUUGCCUGAAAUGCCAAGAACCCCCUAAAGUAUUACAACAAGUAACCUUAGAUGCCAAGAACCCUCCUAAGUAUCCUAGCUGUCCCUGUUUUCUGCAGAUGUACGAAACUGGGUUUUAUGCCUAUUUCCUCUAUCCUUCUGUUCAGAUCUUUAGGGAUCAUCAUCAUCAUCAUCAUCAUCAUCAUCAUUAUUAUUAUUAUUAUUAUUAUUAUUAUUAUUAUUAUUAUUAUCAUUAUUUCUUUUUCCAGGAUGCACCUCCUUCCAGACAUUUGGAGAUG
rnacentral:lncRNA from 1 species